rnacentral:miRNA from 1 species
UGAGGCAGGAGAAUUGCUUGAACCCAGGAGGUGGAGGUUGCAGUGAGCCGAGAUCGCACCACUGCACUCCAGCCUGGGUGACAGAGCGAGACUCCA